rnacentral:rRNA from 1 species
AGUGAACGCUGGCGGUAGGCCUAACACAUGCAAGUCGAACGGCAGCACAGUAAGAGCUUGCUCUUACGGGUGGCGAGUGGCGGACGGGUGAGGAAUACAUCGGAAUCUACUUUUUCGUGGGGGAUAACGUAGGGAAACUUACGCUAAUACCGCAUACGACCUACGGGUGAAAGCAGGGGAUCUUCGGACCUUGCGCGAUUGAAUGCGCCGAUGUCGGAUUAGCUAGUUGGCGGGGUAAAGGCCCACCAAGGCGACGAUCCGUAGCUGGUCUGAGAGGAUGAUCAGCCACACUGGAACUGAGACACGGUCCAGACUCCCACGGGAGGCAGCAGUGGGGAAUAUUGGACAAUGGGCGCAAGCCUGAUCCAGCCAUACCGCGUGGGUGAAGAAGGCCUUCGGGUUGUAAAGCCCUUUUGUUGGGAAAGAAAAGCAGCAGGUUAAUACCCCGCUGUUCUGACGGUACCCAAAGAAUAAGCACCGGCUAACUUCGUG